rnacentral:rRNA from 1 species
UACGGGGGGGGCAAGCGUUGUUCGGAAUUACUGGGCGUAAAGGGCUCGUAGGUGGCCAACUAAGUCAGACGUGAAAUCCCUCGGCUUAACCGAGGAACUGCGUCUGAUACUGGAUGGCUUGAGUGUGGGAGAGGGAUGCGGAAUUCCAGGUGUAGCGGUGAAAUGCGUAGAUAUCUGGAGGAACACCGAUGGCGAAGGCAGGUCUCUGGGCCACUACUGACGCUGAGGAGCGAAAGCUAGGGGAGCGAACAGG